ensembl:lncRNA
GUUUGAUUUGCCCUUGGAGUCUUCAAACAGAACCCGAACUUCCUUGUGUAAAUGCUUUUGCUUCUAUAAAAGAAGCCUCAGAAAUCUGUUUUUAUACCACCUGCGAGCUGAUGUUUAUUGCCACAGCUAUCACAACAAUUCAGCUUGAUUCAUGACAGUUUUUUCUGUCAAGAAAUAAACAGUUCUACACAAGAGGAUUAUCAGGAUUAUUACGAUAAUGAUUGCAUGGUUGUUGCUGCUGUCACUCUUCGGAAAAAGUACACAAGAUGGACAAGAAAACGGUGUGUUGCGUUGUGGACCUCAGAAUGUAACUCUUGCCCACAACGAUCAGACACUCCUGUUAAAGUGGGAAGAUGACCCUUCUUGCUCUGUGAUACGAGGUGGGCUCGUGUACGAGCUGCAGGUUCUCACUGCAGACAAACCUGUACACAGUGGUGAAGUUGUUGUGACACCUGCACAGAUAGGAUCUACUCAUUCCUGGAAAUGGACUUCCCAUUUACCAUCGCAGUGUGCUCGCCAUUCAGUCCGGC